GGGGGUGCACUGGCUUCGACGGGGGUUGCGAAAUUACCUGGUGCAUGCCGAGGGGGUAGCUUUCCUCGUAAAUCCAGCUGCAAACUUCUAGUUGCCAACGACGACAACUACGGUUCGGACUUCGCUCUCGCCGCCUAAACAGCAGCGUUGAGUUUUAGUUCUACAGCCGCCUAAGGCGAACCCCCGAACCUACUUGUGCCCGUGCUCGUAGGUGUAGGGUCAUUAUCACGGAACCGGCUGUGACGGCUGCCUGUCAGUCAUGGCUUAACCAAAACAGGCUGGUCCUGGGGUGCGUUUUGCACACCGUGCUGCUCCAGGACGAGACCCAACGGUGAGCUAAGCAUGUAGUACCGGGGAUGGAGUGCCUUCGGACGGGGGUUCAAUUCCCCCCACCUCCACCA
rfam:Pseudoxanthomonas spadix BD-a59, complete genome.